CAGACCGCCAGCUAAGGUCCCAAAUUACUACUAAGUGGGAAACGAUGUGGGAAGGCUCAGACAGCCAGGAUGUUGGCUUAGAAGCAGCCAUCAUUUAAAGAAAGCGUAAUAGCUCACUGGUCGAGUCGGCCUGCGCGGAAGAUGUAACGGGGCUAAGUAGUAAACCGAAGCUGCGGCAAUAUACUUUUGUAUAUUGGGUAGGGGAGCGUUCUGUAAGCGGUUGAAGGUGUGUGGUAACGCAUGCUGGACGUAUCAGAAGUGCGAAUGCUGACAUGAGUAACGAUAAAGGGGGUGAAAAACCUCCUCGCCGGAAGACCAAGGGUUCCUGUCCAACGUUAAUCGGGGCAGGGUAAGUCGACCCCUAAGGCGAGGCCGAAAGGCGUAGUCGAUGGGAAACGGGUUAAUAUUCCCGUACUUCUUACAAUUGCGAUGGGGGGACGGAGAAGGCUAGGUGGGCCUGGCGACGGUUGUCCAGGUUCAAGUGCGUAGGCUUAAGAGUUAGGUAAAUCCGGCUCUUUUUAAGGCUGAGACACGACGUCGAGCAUCUACGGAUGUGAAGUCAUUGAUGCCAUGCUUCCAGGAAAAGCCUCUAAGCUUCAGAUUGUAAGGAAUCGUACCCCAAACCGACACAGGUGGUCGGGUAGAGAAUACCAAGGCGCUUGAGAGAACUCGGGUGAAGGAACUAGGCAAAAUGGUACCGUAACUUCGGGAGAAGGUACGCUCUUGAUGGUGAAGUCCCUUGCGGAUGGAGCUGACGAGAGUCGCAGAUACCAGGUGGCUGCAACUGUUUAUUAAAAACACAGCACUGUGCAAAAUCGUAAGAUGACGUAUACGGUGUGACGCCUGCCCGGUGCCGGAAGGUUAAUUGAUGGGGUUAGACUUCGGUCGAAGCUCUUGAUCGAAGCCCCGGUAAACGGCGGCCGUAACUAUAACGGUCCUAAGGUAGCGAAAUUCCUUGUCGGGUAAGUUCCGACCUGCACGAAUGGCGUAAUGAUGGCCACGCUGUCUCCACCCGAGACUCAGUGAAAUUGAAAUCGCUGUGAAGAUGCAGUGUACCCGCGGCUAGACGGAAAGACCCCGUGAACCUUUACUACAGCUUGGCACUGAACAUUGACCCUACAUGUGUAGGAUAGGUGGGAGGCUUUGAAGCACGUACGCCAGUAUGUGUGGAGCCGUCCUUGAAAUACCACCCUUGUAGUGUUGAUGUUCUAACGUCGACCCCUAAUCGGGGUUGCGGACAGUGCCUGGUGGGUAGUUUGACUGGGGCGGUCUCCUCCCAAAGAGUAACGGAGGAGCACGAAGGUGGGCUAAUCACGGUUGGACAUCGUGAGGUUAGUGCAAUGGCAUAAGCCCGCUUGACUGCGAGAAUGACAAUUCGAGCAGGUGCGAAAGCAGGUCAUAGUGAUCCGGUGGUUCUGAAUGGAAGGGCCAUCGCUCAACGGAUAAAAGGUACUCCGGGGAUAACAGGCUGAUACCGCCCAAGAGUUCAUAUCGACGGCGGUGUUUGGCACCUCGAUGUCGGCUCAUCACAUCCUGGGGCUGAAGUCGGUCCCAAGGGUAUGGCUGUUCGCCAUUUAAAGUGGUACGCGAGCUGGGUUUAGAACGUCGUGAGACAGUUCGGUCCCUAUCUGCCGUGGGCGUUGGAAGAUUGAAGGGGGCUGCUCCUAGUACGAGAGGACCGGAGUGGACGAACCUCUGGUGUUCGGGUUGUGUCGCCAGACGCAUUGCCCGGUAGCUAAGUUCGGAAUCGAUAACCGCUGAAAGCAUCUAAGCGGGAAGCGAGCCCUGAGAUGAGUCUUCCCUGAUACUUUAAGUAUCCUAAAGGGUUGUCGGAGACUACGACGUUGAUAGGUCAGGUGUGUAAGUGCUGUGAGGCAUUGAGCUAACUGAUACUAAUUGCCCGUGAGGCUUAACCAUACAACACCCAAGGGGUUU
rnacentral:rRNA from 1 species